AUGUAAUAUAUACAUGUAAUGUUUUAUUUUAAAGUAAUCUCCACACCCAACAUGGGGCCUGAACUCACAACCCUAAGACAAAGAGUCACACAUUCCACUGAGUGAGUCAGUCAGGC